rnacentral:rRNA from 1 species
UACGGAGGAUGCAAGCGUUAUCCGGAUUUAUUGGGUUUAAAGGGUGCGUAGGCGGGAAAAUAAGUCAGUGGUGAAAUCCUACAGCUUAACUGUAGAAUUGCCGUUGAUACUGUUUUUCUUGAGUAUGGUCAAGGAAGGCGGAAUGUGUGAUGUAGCGGUGAAAUGCUUAGAUAUUACACAGAACACCAAUUGCGAAGGCAGCUUUCUGGCCCAUUACUGACGCUGAGGCACGAAAGCGUGGGGAUCGAACAGGAUUAGAUACCCCGGUA